CUAAGAAUAUUCCGCAAUAGGAGAAAUCCUGACGGAGCGACGCCGCGUGGACGAUGAAGGCAGAAAUGUUGUAAAGUCCUUUUAUACGGGAAGAAUAAGUAUAGUAGUAAAAAGAUUAUAUGAUGACGGUACCGUGUGAAUAAGCCACGGCUAACUACGUGCCAGCAGCCGCGGUAAUACGUAGGUGGCAAGCGUUGUUCGGAUUUAUUGGGCGUAAAGGGCAUGUAGGCGGUUAAAUAAGUGUGGAUUGAAAGACCAGAGCUUAACUCUGAGUUUGGUCUGCAAACUGUUUGACUUGAGUGCAGGAGGGGAGACUGGAAUUCCGCGUGUAGGGGUGAAAUCUGUAGAGAUGCGGAAGAAUACCGGCGGCGAAGGCGAGUCUCUGGUCUGUAACUGACGCUGAAAUGCGAAAGUGUGGGGAGCGAACAGG
rnacentral:rRNA from 1 species